GAUGAACGCUGGCGGCGUGCCUAAUACAUGCAAGUCGAGCGAACAGAUAAGGAGCUUGCUCCUUUGACGUUAGCGGCGGACGGGUGAGUAACACGUGGGUAACCUACCUAUAAGACUGGAAUAACUCCGGGAAACCGGGUCUAAUGCCGGAUCACAUUUAGAACCGCAUGGUUCUAAAGUGAAAGAUGGUUUUGCUAUCACUUCUAGAUGGACCCGCGCCGUAUUAGCUAGUUGGUAAGGUAACGGCUUACCAAGGCAACGAUACGUAGCCGAACUGAGAGGGUGAUCGGCCACACUGGAACUGGGACACGGUCCAGACUCCUACGGGAGGCAGCAGUAGGGAAUCUUCCGCAAUGGGCGAAAGCCUGACGGAGCAACGCCGCGUGAGUGAUGAAGGUCUUCGGAUCGUAAAACUCUGUUAGUAGGGAAGAACAAAUGUGUAAGUAACUGUGCACGUCUUGACGGUACCUAAUCAGAAAGCCACGGCUAACUACGUG
rnacentral:rRNA from 1 species